UGUGUGAGGACAGCCUUCACAUACACACUCAUCAGGGAGAAGAUGUUGUCAUCCACCGCCUCAUUGUUUGCAUGGAGCUUAACAUGUUUUCCCUCCGGCGGGUUAAAAAAAGCAAGCAGCUUCCUCUCUGCAAGGGAAUUACUGCCCAUCACCAGCAUCGACUGAUUCUCCACACAUGGCAAAGUCAAGGGGCACGCCG